rnacentral:rRNA from 1 species
GACGAACGCUGGCGGCGUGCUUAACACAUGCAAGUCGAACGGAAAGGCCCUGCUUUUGUGGGGUGCUUGAGUGACGAACGGGUGAGUAACACGUGAGUAACCUGCCCUUGACUUUGGGAUAACUUCAGGAAACUGGGGCUACUACCGGAUAGGAGCUCCUGCUGCAUGGUGGGGGUUGGAUAUUUUUGGAGGAUGGGGAUGGACUCGGGGCUUAUCAGGUUGUUGGUGGGGUAGUGGCUUACCGCGGCUUUGACGGGUAGCCGGCCUGGGGGGGUGACCGGCCACAUUGGAACGGGGAUACGGCCCAGACUCCAACGGGGGGCAGCAGGGGGGAAUAUGGCACAAUGGGCGGAAGCCUGAUGCAGCAACGCCGCGUGCGGGAGGACGGCCUUCGGGUUUUAAACCGCUUUCGCCUGUGACGAAGCGUGUGUGACGGUAAUGGGUAAAGAAGCACCGGCUAACUACGUG